rnacentral:tRNA from 1 species
GCCACUCUAGCUCAACUGGUUGAGCAACGGUUUUGUAAACCGUAGGUUGUCGGUUCGAGUCCGACGAGUGGCUCCA